AGCUGUCCCCUCUGUCCCCUGUUUAUGGGGAAGCUGGCACUUGAGAGAGGACAGUCCUCUUGCUGUCCCACAAGCCUUCCUCCCAACUGAGAGGGGAGUCAAUAAGGAGGAGUAAGAAGGAGUAUUUCAGAGGAGCUUCCUGCAAACCCCAAGUCCUCCAGACUGGAAUUCUACCAAGCUACAAUGGCAUCGAGAUAACAAUUCUGGAGAGAUUCUCACUGAUACUCCUUACCUACUUUGGUGGCUAAGGAUCAUGGUGGAUAGAGAGAUGAACUUGGAAUGAUUGCAACUAAAAUUCUAAUCUUGCUGCUGACACUAGCUGGGUGACUUUGGAUAAGUCAUUUACCUUUUCUCUGCCUCAGUAACUUAGUCUGCAAAACAGAUAUCAAUAACAAAAUGUAGAUAAUAUGGACACCAUAAAUAUGUAGCAUCUCUGUUGCAUUAUUGCAAAGAUUAAAUGAGUUGAUAUGUGUAAAACAUAAUCACUAUUCUUGGUUAUUUUAUUUUUAUUGGUGUUAUUAUUAUUAUUAUUAUUAUUAUUAUUAUUGUGAUUUGG
rnacentral:lncRNA from 1 species